GAUCCAUGGCUCAGGACGAACGCUGGCGGCGUGCCUAACACAUGCAAGUCGAACGGAGAUGUUUAUUUCGGUAGACAUCUUAGUGGCGCACGGGUGAGUAACGCGUGAAUAACCUGACCCGAAGAGGGGGAUAACACCUGGAAACAAGUGCUAAUACCGCAUAAGACCACGGAUCGGCAUCGGUCAGAGGUCAAAGGAGAAAUCCGCUUUGGGAGGGUUCGCGUCCCAUUAGGUAGUUGGUGAGGUAACGGCCG
rnacentral:rRNA from 1 species